rnacentral:rRNA from 1 species
GACGAACGCUGGCGGCGUGCCUAAUACAUGCAAGUCGAACGAGAGCGACCGGUGCUUGCACUGGUCAAUCUAGUGGCGAACGGGUGAGUAACACGUGGGUAACCUGCCCAUCAGAGGGGGAUAACAUCCGGAAACGGAUGCUAAAACCGCAUAGGUCUUCGAACCGCAUGGUUUGAAGAGGAAAAGAGGCGCAAGCUUCUGCUGAUGGAUGGACCCGCGGUGCAUUAGCUAGUUGGUGAGGUAACGGCUCACCAAGGCCGUGAUGCAUAGCCGACCUGAGAGGGUGAUCGGCCACAUUGGGACUGAGACACGGCCCAAACUCCUACGGGAGGCAGCAGUAGGGAUUCUUCCGCAAUGGACGCAAGUCUGACGGAGCAACGCCGCGUGAGUGAAGAAGGUUUUCGGAUCGUAAAACUCUGUUGUUAGAGAAGAACAAGUGCUAGAGUAACUGUUAGCGCCUUGACGGUAUCUAACCAGAAAGCCACGGCUAACUACGUG